ACUAUUAUAGUAAAAGUAAUUAUAUCAUUUUGAUGUGAUGGAGUUUAAAAUAGUA
rnacentral:tRNA from 1 species